GGUGGCUAAGUGGUAGAGCACUUGCCUUGCAUGCAUGAGGCCCUGGGUUCGAUUCCUCAGCACCA
rfam:Dipodomys ordii contig_20674, whole genome shotgun sequence.